UACGUAGGGCGCAAGCGUUGUCCGGAUUUAUUGGGCGUAAAGAGCGUGUAGGCGGCCGUACAGGUCAGCUGUGAAAACUCGAGGCUCAACCUCGAGACGUCGGUUGAAACCGUUUGGCUAGAGUCCGGAAGAGGAGAGUGGAAUUCCGCGUGUAGCAGUGAAAUGCGUAGAUAUGCGGAGGAACACCGAUGGCGAAGGCAAUCCCCUGGGCCUGCACUGACGCUCAUGCACGAAAGCGUGGGGAGCAAACAGG
rnacentral:rRNA from 1 species